ACGAUGAACCCGCUUCGGUGGGGGAUUAGUGGCGAACGGGUGAGUAACACGUGGGCAAUCUGCCCUGUACUUUGGGAUAAGCCUGGGAAACUGGGUCUAAUACCGGAUAUGACUUCUGCGCGGCAUCCGUGGAAGUGGAAAGCUCCGGCGGUACGGGAUGAGCCCGCGGCCUAUCAGCUUGUUGGUGGGGUAAUGGCCUACCAAGGCGACGACGGGUAACCGGCCUGAGAGGGUGACCGGCCACAC
rnacentral:rRNA from 1 species